GUUCCUUAACUAGUAUCGUAUAAUACGGGAAAACCCUCUUCGUCCCCUUCCCGUCAACCGAAACGUUGCAGCCGCCGCGUCCUGAUCCCUGAUGGUUCCUUCUUUCUGAGUGAAGCUGUAGAUAUUGGAGGCGCCUAAUUUACACAGGCCAACAUGGAAGUUCUAAAGAGUUCAAAGACGUAUAUUCAUGAGUGAUAAUUUUACAGUUGUUCAAGCAAAAUCCUUCUUCAUUACAUGGUCGAAGGUUCGCCUCUAAAGGCGGAAGAGACAAAGAAGAAAAGAAUGGCCCAAGGGAAGGCAAUGGGAAUUGAAGCGCUUUUGAGAUGGGGGACUGAAAUAGGCAUUUGUGACUUCACACCUUCUUUGAUACCUCCAUCUCCCUCUUUCUCAUGCCUUGGCUACUCAUUGUUUGCGUCUCAUUUCCCCGACGCUGGUGGGAGGGGUUUGGGCGCUGCUCGUGAUCUCAAGAAAGGGGAGUUGGUACUGAGAGUUCCCAGGACUGCACUGUUGACGAGUGAUAGCGUGGUGAGAGAUGAAAAGAUUGCGUGUUGCAUCAAAAGGUACCCUCAUCUCUCCUCCACACAGAUUCUGGCAGUAUGUUUAUUGGCUGAAGUGGGAAAAGGAAAGAGUUCAAAGUGGUACCCAUAUCUGUUGCAGUUGCCCCAGUAUUACAGUACAUUAGCGAACUUCACCGACUACGAAAUUAAAUCUUUUCAACUGGAGGAUGCAAUCUGGGUAGCAGAGAAGGCUGUCAAAAAAGCAAAGUCAGAUUGGGAAGAAGUUAUCACCCUCAUGAAAGAAAUGCAACUCAAGCCUCAACUUUUAACACUCAAAUCAUGGCUUUGGGCCUCAGCAACUGUAUCAUCUCGCACAUUGCAUAUACCAUGGGACAAUGCUGGUUGCUUAUGCCCUGUUGGGGAUUUGUUCAAUUAUGCAGCUCCUGAUGAUGAGGCGAUUGAUAAUUUCAAUCUAAGGUUAAUGGAUGGUGGGUAUGAGGAAGAUACCGCUUCAUAUUGCUUCUAUGCAAGAAAAAAAUAUGAACAAGGAGAGCAGGUUCUUCUAGGCUAUGGAACAUAUACCAACUUAGAGCUUCUAGAGCACUAUGGUUUUCUUUUACAUAACAACCCAAAUGAAAAAGUCUUCAUCCAAUUAGAUACAGCUAUAUUCAGAGUGAGCACUUGGCCCAAUGAUUCCCUAUACAUUCAACAAGACGGAAUUCCGUCAUUUGCAUUAUUAUGCUGUUUACGACUUUGGGCGACGCCUGUAAAUAGGCGGAGGGUUAUUGGCCAUCUAAUUCACUCCGGAAAUUUAGUUUCAGUUGAAAACGAGGUAAUGAUCAUGAACUGGUUAAUGAAGAAUUGUGACAAAAUAUUGGGGAAGAUACCAACAACAAUUGAAAUUGAUGAUGAGUUGUUGAUCCUUUUGGACAAAUUUCUGAAUAAUUCUACUUGUCUAAAGCUUGUAGAUUCUUUAUCUUCUAAGGUGGAGAUUAGAGAAUUCUUUCAAGCUCAUGGGCUGGAACACGAAGCUGUGACUUGGAGUGAAUUACCAGUUAGGGUUCAGAAAUCGCUAGAAAGAUGGAAAUUAGCGGUCCGAUGGAGAUUGAUUUACAAGAAGACACUGCUCAGAUGUAUAAAUCAUUGUAAAGAUAGAAUAUGUGAGCUUUCUUCACAGCGUGGUUUAUUGAGAGAAAUGGAUCAGACUUGAAUAAGUUUUCAUGUCCUAUAUGGUAUUUUGUUGUGCAAACUAUGCUUGACAUGACCUAUGCUACCACUUCAUUUAUAUACCUAUACCAUUGAUCGAUGCUGCUGCUACUUGAACAUGCAUUCUCUCCUUGAAGCUGAUGAAACAAGCCUUUGCAUUGUGGAAGAAUGCCGACAAAAGCAUGAAACGAAUAGAUGUAUACUAUAAUCCUCAAUAUCAGAGAGGUCGAUGCUUUGAUAGUAUCUUCAAUAUGUUUGGAACGACUUGUAUUUCUCAUGGCCGGCAAUUCAUGAUGAUGCGUAUCAGCCUAUGCUUAUUUUGGGUACCGUUGGUUGCAGCUGGUGUUUACUCAUAAUACUAUUUUUCAAACAAAAAAAAAAUCCUUUUCCAUAGCAUGGUUAAUAUGUUACAAUGUUGCUAUCUAUUGAAACAUUAGUUAUUGGGUAUCGGUUUAGCUGAUUUUGAUCUUCCAGCAAGCGAGUUAAUAUGUUACAAUGUUGCUAUCUAUUGAAACAUUAGUUAUUGGGUA